rnacentral:lncRNA from 1 species
GGCUGCUCCUCUUCUGCGCCGCGCCGAUGUCCCGAUGCCUCUGCCUGGCCUACCCCCUCAGUCAAAAGCGCCGCAUCCCGGCCCCAACCUCAACACCGCCGCCAUAGCGGGCAACAAAAUGGAGGGAGCGAAACUUCCGGCGACGGGCAGCCCUACUUCCGGCGAGCGGGCCCGGCAGAUUCGCUACCCCUCGGAGCCGUUUGAGCCGCUAGAAAAUGGUUUGUCUUCGGCCUUUCGCGUUCACAGGCGCCACCACGGGGCUGCCGACUCUCUGGGAGAGACCAGGGGAAAGAGCGCGAGUGGACGGAGCCUGUGUAAGGGACUAACUUGGGAACUAAUUCAUCCUGUGAGCACACUCCGUCUCGCCUGCUCAUCCUGCAUCCUGCUCUUCUCCCAUCUCUCUCACACCAGCCUCCCCUCUGGUCUCCUUGGUGAGAGCCACCAGGAGGGUCCCCCCCAGUACUGGUGGGAUGCCCCGCUGUCUGUACCCACACAAUCUGUGCCUGGACAGGGGUGGGGUUGGGUGUGAGACACACUGGAGGGAGCACCGUGGGGUGGGGGCUCUCCGAGGUGGAGGAAUCCCAGGCAAACACCCGCAUCGUCCUCCACAGGGUCUGAUGAUUCUCCGCCCACACGGUCAGGAACGCAGGCACGUAUCAACCUCCAGGUGAUGUUCCCUGUUAUCCCUCAGCACUGAUGAGGGAGGAAUGACUUCGUCCGUUCGUUAUUCAAGUGCUGUAAAAGUUUGACCCCGCACUGAAAGAGCAGCAACAAGACACCAGCAGCAAAGACGGUCACGUGGAAGGGUUUGUAUCACGCCUCAUGCACUAUUCUGCCCAACAGAACAACAGAUUCACACCCCCCACCCCCAGCUCAGCUCUGAGCACUGGGGGUGGGACGCAGGACCCUGGAUGUGUCCCCAUGCCCACACACUGAGGGGGAGGCUGGCUUCCUCAGUGAGUCAUUCUUGCCCAGCAUGUCAAGCGCAGCAGGACAGCUGAGAGACCAACCAGGGACUUGACAAAAAGCAAGGCCACUUCAGCCCCACCUCCCUGUUCUUCUCAGGCUUCCUCUGGGCUCCGAAUCCCAGGCCUCGUGUACAAGUAAUCAGCCUCAGGUUAGUCACUGAGUUUAAAUCAUGACAUUUUGAGGAUUCAGACCACAGCAGCAUUUGCUCACUGCCCUGUGUAUAAUCCUAACCCUACGGCAAGGCCAACCUCACUAAGCUUGUUUCUUGAGAAAUGCCAAAAUGCAACCUCUCCUUCAAUUUACUUCUUAACGCUUUUUUAUUGUUUUGCUUUUUGCUUGUUUUAUACAGGCUUUCUCCCUCAAGGGAGGUUAACAUGGAAAGACAUGUCACCACUCAGGUGUUAUCAUUGUCAAAAUCGGAGGACAUUUUUUCUCUUUCUCUUCUAUUUCAGCCCAUCACGGGUCCAUGUUCUCUGUGCACAUCCACCUCAGCCUCCCUGGAUUCGCCUUUUAAACAACUGUGGACUCCCCUGGGAGGGAUCAUCACGUCGUGGAGAGCU